CGUGCUCGGUCUGUUGCGGUGAGAUCAGAUGGGCGUGCGUCUCGAUCGCGCCUGCGGUGACGAUCAUCCCCUCCGCGGGAAUCGGUGUCGUGCUGGUACCGACAACAAGGCCAGGGGUGAUGCCGGGCAUGGUGUCGGGAUUGCCCGCCUUGCCCAGCCCGACGAUCCUGCCGUCCCGGAUACCGAUGUCGCACUUGACGAUUCCGGCGAUCGCGUCGAUCACAACCGCGUUCAUGAUGACGUAGUCGAGGGCGCCGUCCGAGUGUUUCGACGACGGUCGAUAGCCCUCGCCGUCGCGUACG
rnacentral:sRNA from 1 species